AUUGAACGCUGGCGCAGGCUUAACACAUGCAAGUCGAACGUAACAUAAAGAAGCUUGCUUCUUGAUGACGAGUGGCGGACGGGUGAGUAAUGCUUGGAAUUAGCUUAUGGAGGGGGAUACUACGGGAAAUGUAAUAAUACCGCGUAGUAUCGAGAGAUGAAAGUGUGGACCUUCGGGCCACAUGCCAUAGGAUGAGCCAAGUGGGUUAGGUAGUUGUGAGUAAAGGCUCACCAAGCCGACGAUCUCUACUGGUCUGAGAGGAUGACCAGCCACACUGGACUGAGACACGCCCAGACUCCUACGGGAGGCAGCAGUGGGGAAUAUUGCGCAAUGGGGGCAACCCUGACCACCAUGCCGCGUGAAUGAAGAAGGCCUUCGGGUUGUAAAGUUCUUUCCGGUAGCGAGGAAGGCAUUAGUAAUAACUAGGUGAUUGACGUUAACUA
rnacentral:rRNA from 1 species